rnacentral:rRNA from 1 species
AUUGAACGCUGGCGGCGUGCCUAACACAUGCAAGUCGAGCGGUAACAGGUGUAGCAAUACAUGCUGACGAGCGGCGGACGGGUGAGUAACGCUUGGGAAUCUGCCUGUUAGUGGGGGACAACCCGGGGAAACUCGGGCUAAUACCGCAUACGCACUACGGUGGAAAGCCGGGGACCGCAAGGCCUGGCGCUAACAGAUGAGCCCAAGUCGGAUUAGCUAGUUGGUAGGGUAACGGCCUACCAAGGCGACGAUCCGUAACUGGUCUGAGAGGACGACCAGUCACACCGGAACUGAGACACGGUCCGGACUCCUACGGGAGGCAGCAGUGGGGAAUAUUGGACAAUGGGCGAAAGCCUGAUCCAGCGACGCCGCGUGGGUGAAGAAGGCCUGCGGGUUGUAAAGCCCUUUCGGUGGGGAAGAAAAGCCUCGAGUUAACACCUCGGGGUCUUGACGUAACCCAUAGAAGAAGCACCGGCUAACUCUGUGCCAGCA